ensembl:lncRNA
CUUUGCAGACGCGGGGAAAGAGAGGAGGAAUGUGAAGCUGCGUUCCUCAGGAGCUGUGGACCAACUGUCUGCACCGCCUCAGUUCCCCAUGGACCACUGAGCAAAGGCAGCGAGGCAGUGAGGACCACCUCCUCCCGCUCUUUGUCCGUCCUCUUUCUGUCUGUUCUCACUUACGCCGCUGCUGCUUUUUCCUCCAUCGUCUCCUCCAUCGUACCCUCCAUCGUCCCCUCCAUUGUACCCUUCGUCGUCUCCUCCGUCGUCUCCUCCAUCGUCCCCUCCAUCGUCCCCUCCAUCGUCCCCUCCAUCGUCCCCUCCAUCGUCUCCUCCAUCGUACCCUUCAUCAUCUCCUCCGUCGUCUCCUCCAUCGUCUCCUCCAUCGUACCCUCCGUCGUACCCUUUGUCGUCCCCUCCGUCGUCUCCUCUGUCGUCUCUUCCAUCGUCUCCUCCGUCGUCUCCUUCGUUGUCCCCUUCAUCGUCUCAUCCGUCAUCCACUCCGUCGUCUCCUCCGUCAUCCACUCCGUCGUCUCCUCCGUCGUCUCCUCCGUCGUCUCCUCCAUCGUCCCCUCCGUCGUCUCCUCCAUCGUCCCCUCCGUCGUCUCCUCCGUCGUCUCCUCCGUCGUACCCUCCGUCGUCCCCUUCUUCGUCCCCUCUGUCGUCCCCUCCGUCGUCCCCUCCGUCGUACCCUUUGUCGUCUCCUCCGUCAUACCCUUCGUCGUUCCCUCCAUCGUCUCCUCCGUCGUCUCCUCCGUCGUCUCCUCCGUCGUCUCCUCCAUUGUCUCCUCCAUCUUACCCUCCGUCGUACCCUUUGUCGUACCCUUUGUCGUACCCUUUGUCGUCCCCUCCGUCGUCUCCUCCGUCGUCUCCUUCGUUUUCCCCUUCAUCGUCUCCUCCGUCAUCCACUCCGUCGUCUCCUCCGUCGUCUCCUCCGUCGUCUCCUCCGUCGUCUCCUCCAUCGUCCCCUCUGUCGUCUCCUCCAUCGUCCCCUCCGUCGUCCCCUCCGUCGUCUCCUCCGUCGUCCCCUCCGUCGUCUCCUCCGUCGUACCCUCCGUCGUCCCCUCCGUCGUCUCCUCCGUCGUACCCUCCGUCGUCCCCUCCGUCGUCCCCUCUGUCGUCCCCUCCGUCGUACCCUUUGUCGUCUCCUCCGUCGUCCCCUCCGUCGUCUCCUCCGUCGUCCCCUCUGUCGUACCCUUUGUCGUACCCUUUGUCGUCCCCUCCGUCGUCCCCUCCGUCGUCUCCUCCGUCGUCCCCUCCGUCGUCCCCUUCUUCGUCCCCUCCGUCGUCUCCUCCGUCGUCUCCUCCGUCGUCUCCUCCGUCGUCCCCUCCGUCGUCCCCUCCGUCGUCUCCUCCGUCGUACCCUCCGUCGUCCCCUUCUUCGUCCCCUCUGUCGUCCCCUCCGUCGUCCCCUCCGUCGUACCCUUUGUCGUCUCCUCCAUCGUCUCCUCCGUCGUCUCCUCCGUCGUCCCCUCCGUCGUCCCUUCUUCGUCUCCUCCGUCGUACCCUCCGUCGUCCCCUUCUUCGUCCCCUCUGUCGUCCCCUCCGUCGUCCCCUCCGUCGUACCCUUUGUCGUCUCCUCCAUCGUCUCCUCCGUCGUCUCCUCCAUCGUCCUCUCGGCUGCUCUCUGGCAUUCUUUCCAUGUCUUCGCUCUUUCACUCUUUCAUCCCUUUAACUGAUUUAUGA